rnacentral:lncRNA from 12 species
GCACACCCCUCUGUCCCAAGUGCUCAAAGUCGGGGCGUCGCGUGGUGUGCUUAGUUGUUUAGUCCUCUGUCACGCUAAUACGUUGUGUCGAUCUAGGGCACGGACGCUUCCUCGCAGGCGAUUUUGACAGCAAUCAUCCUACCAAGCUAUUAUGAAGUGUGAUGUCAGUGCGUUCUGCAGGACGGAUAAUGUAUAAGCCAGAUCUUGACACGCUAUCUUACAAGGAAGCAGCUGAGACCAUCAGCUUCUAAUGUGAGGAAAAACACGGAAUGACAAGUGUGGGAAAGAGCAAGCACUAAAUUACUGUCAGAAAAAUAAACGGAGUAGCACAGUGGUGCUCGG